GACGAACGCUGGCGGCGUGCUUAACACAUGCAAGUCGAACGGAAAGGCCCUGCUUUUGUGGGGUGCUCGAGUGGCGAACGGGUGAGUAACACGUGAGUAACCUGCCCUUGACUUUGGGAUAACUUCAGGAAACUGGGGCUAAUACCGGAUAGGAGCUCCUGCUGCAUGGUGGGGGUUGGAAAGUUUCGGCGGUAGGGGAUGGACUCGCGGCUUAUCAGCUUGUUGGUGGGGUAGUGGCUUACCAAGGCUUUGACGGGUAGCCGGCCUGAGAGGGUGACCGGCAACAUUGGGCCUGAGAUACGGCCCAGACUCCUACGGGAGGCAGCAGUGGGGAAUAUUGCACAAUGGGCGGAAGCAUGAUGCAGCAACGCCGCGUGCGGGAUGACGGCCUUCGGGUUGUAAACCGCUUUCGCCUGUGACGAAGCGUGAGUGACGGUAAUGGGUAAAGAAGCACCGGCUAACUACGUG
rnacentral:rRNA from 1 species